UACGUAGGUGGCAAGCGUUGUCCGGAAUUACUGGGUGUAAAGCGCGUGUAGGCGGGAGGCCAAGUCUGCUGUGAAAUCGCCCGGCUCAACUGGGCGGGGUCGGUGGAAACUGGUCACCUGGAGGACGGUAGAGGCGAGUGGAAUUCCCGGUGUAGUGGUGAAAUGCGUAGAGAUCGGGAGGAACACCAGUGGCGAAGGCGGCUCGCUGGGCCGGACCUGACACUGAUGCGCGACAGCAUGGGGAGCAAACAGG
rnacentral:rRNA from 1 species